GAUGAACGCUGGCGGCGUGCCUAAUACAUGCAAGUCGAGCGAACGGACGAGAAGCUUGCUUUUCUGAUGUUAGCGGCGGACGGGUGAGUAACACGUGGAUAACCUACCUAUAAGACUGGGAUAACUUCGGGAAACCGGAGCUAAUACCGGAUAAUAUUUUGAACCGCAUGGUUCAAAAGUGAAAGACGGUCUUGCUGUCACUUAUAGAUGGAUCCGCGCUGCAUUAGCUAGUUGGUAAGGUAACGGCUUACCAAGGCAACGAUGCAUAGCCGACCUGAGAGGGUGAUCGGCCACACUGGAACUGAGACACGGUCCAGACUCCUACGGGAGGCAGCAGUAGGGAAUCUUCCGCAAUGGGCGAAAGCCUGACGGAGCAACGCCGCGUGAGUGAUGAAGGUCUUCGGAUCGUAAAACUCUGUUAUUAGGGAAGAACAUAUGUGUAAGUAACUGUGCACAUCUUGACGGUACCUAAUCAGAAAGCCACGGCUAACUACGUGCCAGCAGCCGCGGUAAUACGUAGGUGGCAAGCGUUAUCCGGAAUUAUUGGGCGUAAAGCGCGCGUAGGCGGUUUUUUAAGUCUGAUGUGAAAGCCCACGGCUCAACCGUGGAGGGUCAUUGGAAACUGGAAAACUUGAGUGCAGAAGAGGAAAGUGGAAUUCCAUGUGUAGCGGUGAAAUGCGCAGAGAUAUGGAGGAACACCAGUGGCGAAGGCGACUUUCUGGUCUGUAACUGACGCUGAUGUGCGAAAGCGUGGGGAUCAAACAGGAUUAGAUACCCUGGUAGUCCACGCCGUAAACGAUGAGUGCUAAGUGUUAGGGGGUUUCCGCCCCUUAGUGCUGCAGCUAACGCAUUAAGCGCUCCGCCUGGGGAGUACGACCGCAAGGUUGAAACUCAAAGGAAUUGACGGGGACCCGCACAAGCGGUGGAGCAUGUGGUUUAAUUCGAAGCAACGCGAAGAACCUUACCAAAUCUUGACAUCCUUUGACAACUCUAGAGAUAGAGCCUUCCCCUUCGGGGGACAAAGUGACAGGUGGUGCAUGGUUGUCGUCAGCUCGUGUCGUGAGAUGUUGGGUUAAGUCCCGCAACGAGCGCAACCCUUAAGCUUAGUUGCCAUCAUUAAGUUGGGCACUCUAAGUUGACUGCCGGUGACAAACCGGAGGAAGGUGGGGAUGACGUCAAAUCAUCAUGCCCCUUAUGAUUUGGGCUACACACGUGCUACAAUGGACAAUACAAAGGGCAGCGAAACCGCGAGGUCAAGCAAAUCCCAUAAAGUUGUUCUCAGUUCGGAUUGUAGUCUGCAACUCGACUACAUGAAGCUGGAAUCGCUAGUAAUCGUAGAUCAGCAUGCUACGGUGAAUACGUUCCCGGGUCU
rnacentral:rRNA from 1 species